rnacentral:rRNA from 1 species
AUUGAACGCUGGCGGCAUGCCUUACACAUGCAAGUCGAACGGCAGCACGGGAGCAAUCCUGGUGGCGAGUGGCGAACGGGUGAGUAAUAUAUCGGAACGUGCCCGGUCGUGGGGAUAACGUAGCGAAAGCUACGCUAAUACCGCAUACGAUCUACGGAUGAAAGCGGGGGAUCGCAAGACCUCGCGCGAUUGGAGCGGCCGAUAUCAGAUUAGGUAGUUGGUGAGGUAAAGGCUCACCAAGCCGACGAUCUGUAGCUGGUCUGAGAGGACGACCAGCCACACUGGGACUGAGACACGGCCCAGACUCCUACGGGAGGCAGCAGUGGGGAAUUUUUGGGACAAAUGGGCGCAAGCCUGAUCCAGCAAUGCCGCGUGCAGGAUGAAGGCCUC